rnacentral:snoRNA from 1 species
CCGUUCGACGAUGAUGAUAUGGUCUCCUACAUCCUCGCCGGACUCGAGUUCGACUACAUGUCGUUCGUCUCGUCCAUAUGUGCUGCAAGGACUGAGCCCAUCAAGGUAGCUAAACUCUAAUCCCAACUGAUCGGUUUUGAAA